ensembl:lncRNA
GAAGAUGUAGAACUCUCAGCUCCUCCUGCUCCAUGCCUGCCUGGAGGAUGCCAUGUUCCCGCCUUGAUGAUAAUGGACUGAACCUCUGAACCUCCCCACCGACCCGAGACCCCUUCCCCUACAUCCUGGUGUCUGCACAUUUCCAGAGCUACCCACAUUCUCCAUGCAUCAUCCUGUGCUCAUCUUGUUAUCUGCUGCAUUUGGUCCUCUAGUCCUGAAGAACAAGCCAUGGUGCUGGAGGGCCUCCAGGCCAUGGGGAUGCUGCAUUUAACCCAGCUCAUGGGAUAACAGGGAUAGAAACCACCAUCGCUCGUUUGUUUCUGCAGUUUCUUUUACACCAGAAGUGUGCUCUUGUGAGGUUCUUGCUAGGAUCAGCCCAAGACACUUAUCCCAACUAUGCAUCGCUUCGUAUUUGCCUGCCCUUCUUUCCAUCUCAACAACUUGUACAGCAGAGCACAUCACCACAUCUGGCUGCUUCUGCUCUAAUGCUGCAGAGACCAAGCAUCAGAAAACGGCUUUGAAGUUUCCCAAGGAGGAAAGACAUUCUAUAAAGAGAAGGGCCCAUGAUUGCUUCCUGACUUCAGUGCGUUAGCAAUGGUCUGCUGAAUUUUGGAGGGCAGCAGUGGACUUCACAUUUAAUUGUUUUGAUUCCUUUUUAAUAAUAAUAAAAAAAACCCUUCUUAGUUGACUGUGAUUGGAAAAACAAGCUAAAAACAAUAGGAAUGAAUCCCAAAGCUGCUCAAAUAUCUGUCUGUAAAUCAGAUGUUAAAUAAAGGCACCAAAAAGAAAAGUCCUCAAACUUUGUUAUAACGUGCAAUAGAAGUUUAAGACUAUUAAAUUUACUGAAAUGCAUUUUAAUAUAUGCUUAGAAUUUGUUUGCAUCUCCCUGUU